CUUUUACAACGAAGAGUUUGAUCCUGGCUCAGGAUGAACGCUAGCGGGAGGCUUAACACAUGCAAGUCGAGGGGCAGCAUUUCUAGCUUGCUAGAAGAUGGCGACCGGCGGACGGGUGCGUAACGCGUAUGCAACUUGCCUAUAACUUAGGGAUAACUUGGAGAAAUCCUUGCUAAUAUCUGAUGUGAUCAAAAAUUCGCAUGUUUUUUUGAUUAAAGAAUUUCGGUUAUAGAUAGGCAUGCGUCCUAUUAGCUAGUUGGUAAGGUAAUGGCUUACCAAGGCUACGAUAGGUAGGGGGCCUGAGAGGGUGAUCCCCCACACUGGUACUGAGACACGGACCAGACUCCUACGGGAGGCAGCAGUG
rnacentral:rRNA from 1 species